CCGCCGUCUCUUGUCCGCGUUGUGUGUCGUCGCGGAGCGAUCAACAUCAGGACCAGACGAAGGAGGGGGGGGGGGCUGUUGGAAAACGUCUUGAGGGUCAUCUCUUCGUUGUUUGACCCGUUCGUAUCAAUGUCGGAAUCGUUUCAUUGGAACUGUCAUUCUUCUUUCUGUCUUCUUUCAGGUUUUCCCCUCAUUUUUUGUGUUGUUGUUCUUUCUUCUUCUUCUUCUUCCCUCUACAUGCAUAUCUAUAUGUUUUUAUUUCUUUUUUUUGUUGAUGUCGACAAGGGCCGGCCCGAAUAUGAGACGGCCAUUCUUAUCUCGUUAUGGUAAGCUGCAGAAAGAUUGUUGGUGCCACGAAUAUUUCCAGAAAAAUAAAUUCCCCCCCCAUUCAGGGUGGAGGUGGGUGUAGGUGCCUACACCUUUCAUCUUUGUGUGUGUGUGUGUGUGUGUGUGUGUGAAGAUGCAAUGAAAGAAAAUGACCUAGAUUUUUAAAAACAUUAUUCCCGUAGUGCCUUGCCGAUAGACGAAACUGAUUAGCGUUUCGAAUGAUGAACGCGGGUUGAAACGUAUGCGUUAUGAUGGUAAUCUAAAUUUUGUGGGGCCGACUUUUUAGCACCGAUGAUUAGGAGCUAGUAUUUUAGCGCCUAACAAGUGCAGAAACGUGAAUAUCUGUUACGCUGUCUGGAAGGGACAUUGGCGUCAGAAAUGUGUGUCUGCCUGAUAUUAUGUUAUUCACUGUGUGCGUGAGUGCGUGUGUGUGUGUGUGUGUACUUUGACCUAUACGAAUCGUGUCACGUAGAGACACAUUUUACCUCAAAGGACUUUUGGACACGAGGACUAGACUGCGGAAGUAGUUCAACUUCGGGAAAAACCGUUAAAUGUUUUUUCUUUAUUAUUAUUAUUUUCUUUCACGAUCAAGACGCCAUCUAACGUUCGUAUUUUGAAGCUCAUUAGUUUUUUUUUUUUUUGCGUUCGAAAUAAAUAUGCAAAUGUGAACGAUGAGUUUUGCAUAAAAUUCACACAAAGAACAGGAAGUGAAAACAGUAACGCAUUUGAUGACCGUUUCAUAAAUGGUCAAUAACCGCCUUCCUUGUCAUUGAAGACGAUCGAUUAUUCAAUUUCCCACACACGCUUACAAAAGAAUUGACAAUCAAAUGUAUCGUGUUAUAACCCACCAGUUCAAAUUUCAACCGCCGUCGAGCUCGAAAAAUAUUUCGACCACUUACCACCAAUUCAAUCGCUCAAUUUCAAUGACAAUAGAUCAACAUGUCUUUCAAAGUUUAACCGACAGUGAACUGUUCUCGCCGGGCAUUGUAAAGCGUCUGCGCCGAAAAAUAAAGAAAUAAAUCUCGGGAAACGAAGGCGAGAAGAAAAUGAGGGUCAGGCCAUUUUCAAAAGAGACAUCGGACGUGUUAGGAGUGUCAGUCGAGAAAACCCGUCCUGAAUAUCUGAUAUCAGGGCGUCCAUUCUUUUUUCUAAAUAUAUUUCUCUCUUUUUCAGACUCGUAAAAACGAAACACAAAAGAAAAACGAGUAAGACAGAGACAUGUCAAACCAACCGUCUGGAACAGAUUCAGCUUUCUAUGUAAAAGACCUGCUCAACAAAGAUCAGUUGAAGCAGUGGGCAAACCUUUCGAGACGAAACUUGCUGGACCUGCUGGACAGCAUUCGACUCAAACGCAAAAGUGGAGCGGCCAAUCAACGUAGUACACUGGCUCGCGUUGAUUGCAAGUCAAUCCUAGCCUUGAUGGCAUUCCUGCUCGUGAUUCAAGCGCAUUAUUCACCGUUCAUUGGGCGAUCCGGCUCGGCUUUGCUGUCGGCAUUUCUGGCCGGCCGCGAUAACGACCAGUGCAUAAUCAGCAUGCCAGUCGACACGAAGAAUGUCUUCCGCCCUCCGGUAGAUUGCGAUUUUUGUCGCGACGUUCACCAAGUCGACAUUGUCCAGCACGUCAGUCCCGAAGAAUUCGAAUCGACUUACGCGUACAGCGGACGGCCGGUGAUCGUGAAAGACGCGCUGGCCAAUUGGACGGCCGUGAAUGUGUUUAGCUACGAGUUCUUCAGCGAGCUGUACACGAAAGAAUCGAACGCGUUAGCGUCCCGAUCUCAACGAUGUCAAUUCUUCCCAUACAAGACGGAAUUCCGUUCGCUGGAAGAGGCUUUGACGAUGAGCGAAGAUCGUCAAUCGAAUCAGCCCUGGUAUUUCGGCUGGAGCAAUUGCGAUUCGCAAACUGCCGACGUGUUGCGUCGCCAUUAUUCGCGGCCUUACUUUCUGCCCGAACGAUCCGAGUCAUCACGCACCGACUGGAUUUUCAUGGGGACGGCCGGAUUAGGCGCUCAUAUGCACGUUGAUCACGUCAGCUUACCUUCGUGGCAAGCGCAAUGCCGAGGAAAGAAAGUAUGGUCACUGGAACCACCUCCGGAAUGUCACUAUCAAUGUCAAUCGAUGGAAGUCACGGUGGAAGCUGGCGAUACCAUUGUCUUGGAUACCAACAUCUGGUAUCACAAAACGAACGUCGUUUCCGAAGAGGUCAGCAUCACCAUCGGCUCCGAAUACGACUGAAUGCAUUAAGGAGAUGUAAUAUACCAAUUUUUUUAAAGCUAUUAUUUAUUUGAUAAAUCACGAUAUUGUAUCUGGCGUUGAUGUAGCUACACAUCAAGUGUAUUGAAUUAUAGUUGGAAUGUUUUAUCGUCCGUAGCUGUAACCGAGAAUGGGAAUCACCCGGCCGUAACCCCCGUGUCCGUUAAUUCCGCCCCGUCUCGUAAUCAGAGGAUAACCAAUUAACAUAGUUGAUCCAGCGAUAGGAUAGAAUCUUGGAACGAGAGGAUAUUCAGGUCUCGGGUAAUGAGUGGCUGUUUUUUAAGGAGAAUUUUAGUUGUUGGAUUAAUUAAACGGCGUUAAUGUUACCAUAGAUGUCGUCACUCCUCUUUUGAAAUGCGUUUGAAUUUGAGUUAACCGAACCGACUGUGUGUUUGAAAGUAGAUCCAGCUGGGACGACGGGUUGGCUUCCAGCAAUUGACACUAAGCCCAACACGACCAUCUGUUGAGGAUCAUUAAACCCUUCAGCUUUCUUUUCGUUUUAAAAGCUUAAUUAUAAAAGUUGGCAAUUUUAGAUCUUACCACGAGAAUGAACUUCAUCGGGUUUUGAUUGACGAGCUGACACUGGAUUAUAAUGUUCCGCCAGAGAGUUAUCGUUUCAACUUUUCAGUAGUAUAAUGUUUACAGCCAAUAUGAAGGUCGAUGUGAACUGUUGAUUUGACUAGUUGAGACUGCGUACAUUUUAUUUUUUUCACGCUGCUUUCUCUCCACUGGGAUGAAAAAAAAAGAUGAAUGCUAAUAAUAAUGCGACGUUGCUUUCCCCCGCUUUCAUCCCAUAAAACGGUUGGAAGUAAAAUUGCGCAAGAACACCAUGUCGAGAGAACCUGUUUCUGUGUAGUCACGAUAGUCGAGAAAGUUACGUAUAAUCUUCCAUUUUGUUUUUCUCUACCGUAAAACAGAAGGAAAUGCCAAUGAAUCGAAUCCUGAGGCCAAUUUUUUUUUAAAUUUUUACUGAAGCAGCCCAAAAAUAAAAAUUUAAUCUACGUCGCAUUUGCUAGUCAGACGAGGCUUCUUAAUUGUGUCAUUUAAAAAAAUUUCGCUUUCUUUGUCACGUCAUGUUGUGAUCUACACGUCAAUCCGUUUCGUUUUCAGUGUCGUUACUGUAGAUGAUGAUUGAUGUGAUGUGUUACACAAAUUGUGUUGUGUUUUGGUGUGGUAAUCUGAAAUAUACACUAGUUUUAGUGCGCAGUGAUGACUAAUACAUAUUUUUUGUGAGGGCAUGUUUAGGCAGCUUACGUGAGUGAAACGCUAUAAAUUAGCAUGUGGUUUUGACGUGUUAAUCUCGGAAAAAAAGUGAAACCAAUAAAGUUCGGAAUACUGGUGGCUGGAUUCGCUCGGUUCCAAAUCAACAGAGUCUUCAGACAGAACAGAUUUCUCCAGGCCAGUGGCAUCCGCUGAAAUGGCGGAAGCAUCUUCUACCGGCUGUCCACCAACAACGACCAAACUCAACAAGAUAACCUGUUUAAAAGUCUUGUGAAGGUGACGUACUUGACGGCGUGACGUAACUAUCGGCAAUUCAACAUCGAUCUGAUCUUGGGGAAGAAAGAAACCUGACUGGAUGCAAGCUGCCUCGAGUAUAGAUUUGUGCAAUGGGAAAUCCUGGUGGUGGUCGGUAUGCAUAAACAGGUCAAGGAUCAAACUUUUUGAUUGAAUUUUGCCCAAAGGCUAACACCAAAUUAUUGGCGGUUGACAUAUAACUGUUUCCCCGUUUCCUAGUUAGAUGACUCAAUCCAUUACUGGAUUUAAAUGAACAAGAUUGAGAAUUACUUGUGGAAUUGGAUUUCCCGACAGUUGUUGGGGGCACUCAUUGCGUCAUUUUCUCAUUAUUCAUUGAUGGUCUGUUUAGAAAUGAUUCAAUUUGUGUGUGUGUGUGUGUGUUUGUGUGUUGAAAUCGGGUCAAGGUCGAAAUGCAACAUAUUUGGAAUGUUUA